GAAAACAAUGGUGGUUCUGACAAGUGUGAAGGCCAGUGAACCAUGCAUGUUGUUAAUGUGAGUUUCACUGUGUAUUUUAUUUGGCAAUGAUGAAACUACCAAGUGUAAUUCUAAAUCAUGUUUUUAUGCCACCGUUAAUGUGUUUGUUUCAUAACAUGGGAUUGCCUUUGUAUCUGAAUAAAUAUUUUGUUUGCUCAAGUGUUAAACCUACCGAUAGGCAGUGUAUGACUGUUUGUGUUUGACUUUGCAGGAUUGUCUGAAUUUGUCUUUGAUAAAUGUUUGUGAUUGUGUAUAUGUGUUUCUUUGUGCAUAAAAGUUGGUGUUGCUGCCUGAAUGAUUUUGAAUGUAUUUAUGUGAAGGAAUCUGCAGCCUUGUCCCUGUUCAUACGUUGUGUUUAUCCAUGUGUCCUUGCAAUGAGUAGUCUUUUUGUUUGUUUCACUGCUCUUUUCGUCUAGAUUCCAGUUCUACCUCUUUAUGAAUUUGCUCUAUUGUUUUCGGUCCCUGGGAUUUAUGUCGAGGUACCCAGUUAUUUUUUCUUAAUUCCAUCAUAUCCUGCACCAAAAAUCGAAUCCGCGAAGAGGUUUUCUGGUUUUUAAUAAAGAUGUCAAUCUUGCUGAUAUAGUUGUCCAAGCGACACUGUCCAUUUUCCAAGGAUUUUCCAGUUGUAGUGAGCAAAAUGCAGAUACAUUCCAAUGACUCCUCGCUGUUCCUGUUUAGUAGUUUCAUUAGGCAGUCUUUCAUGGUGUCCUCAG